rnacentral:rRNA from 1 species
UACGAAGGGGGCUAGCGUUGCUCGGAAUCACUGGGCGUAAAGCGCACGUAGGCGGAUUGUUAAGUCAGGGGUGAAAUCCUGGAGCUCAACUCCAGAACUGCCUUUGAUACUGGCGAUCUUGAGUCCGGAAGAGGUGAGUGGAACUCCGAGUGUAGAGGUGAAAUUCGUAGAUAUUCGGAAGAACACCAGUGGCGAAGGCGGCUCACUGGUUCGGUACUGACGCUGAGGUGCGAAAGCGUGGGGAGCAAACAGGG